UCCAAUGUUGCAUUCUGUUGGGCUCUUGUAACUAUCUACCUCCACAUACACCAUCAUUUUUUCAACGCAAUCAGUUUUCAAUACAGUUUUCUCGUACUUAAUUGAUUCUCAGAAGUUCACUUCAUUGAUUUUAAUUAAUUCAAUGAUUACCCUGUCAUUGUCCAUUUAUUUCUUGUGAAUCACGUCUGUAAUGGACCAUCAGGAGUCUCAAUGUAGAAACAUUGGAAGACUUCAUGCCUUCAUGCAUACCUUUGCAGGUUCUGUGAUUUACUCUCCCUUUUCUGUUCCUUAUGCAGCUUUGUUUCCAGAAGGUCUCUGUGGUUUUUGAAUAGCAAAUUUAUAUGGGACUUGUUGCAACUUAAUUAUAUAUGCUCCACUUUGGGGAAUAUUGGAGGACUUUGAAUGGAGAAAUGGAAAGUUUGCUGCAAAAUGGUUUUCCAUGACAAGAUGAAUGGUUUAAAGGUAAUUGCAUGCUUAUGGCUCUCUGGGGAUUUUGCUUCUUAAAUAUAUCAGAACUAGCUUAAUGAUACUAAGUCGAGAAGAACACCAGUGGAUGAUAGUCAAUCGCACAAUGCAUGAUGCCUGUUUAGCUUUGCUGAUAACAUUCUCGCAUUUUGAACAUAACUUUUAUAUUUAUAUCAGUAGCAAAAAAAAUUCAAUACUUUAAAUUAAGUCAUUUUUCUUUUGUGCCUCUGUAAGGUUUAUGGUUUAUGGUACUUUACGUACCAUGAUUAAAUUUCUGAAGAUAAGUUGAAUGAAUGAUAAACUAACAAAAGGGUGAAGUAAUAUCAUUGUUUCUUACAUGCGUGGUCCAGGUCCUAUUAAUUUUAUAGCAUUUGCACCACACUUGUGUUGAAUAUAAUUUUAAAAAAUUUUGAGUUG